UAGUCUAGUGGCUAUAUGGUGUUUGACUACCAGCCAAAAGGUAUUGGGUUCGAUCCCCAAUGUCC